CCCGGAUUAAACUCUUAUUGUUUGUUGUGGUUUCUGUUCCUGAUUUAGUUUCUCUGAUGUUGAUGCUGAUAUGUACAGAGGCCUGGUGAUUUAGGAUGCGAGUUUGAGUAGCUUUUGUAUUCAGGGGUAUCUUAUCUUUCAAAAAUUACAA